ensembl:lncRNA
CAGUUGGCAGCAGAAGGCUGGAGUCCGUCCGGAGCUCUGAUGGACUUUGGGUGCUGCUGCCUGCAGGAUCACCUCCUACAGAACUGUAAAGAACAGUUCUUCCAGCUCCAGACUGCUUGGUUUCCCUGUGAGCCUUCAAAGCUGGCUGCCCAUGCCCUCCCACAGCAGUAGACAGUUUCAGCUGGGUGUUCCACUUGCGCUUUUCCUAAAGCACUGGAACGCCUACAGGGUGAAAAGGCUUACAGUCAAGAAGUGAUUUGUUAAUUAAUCGCUGCUGUCUUCUGGGACACAGGGAAUGGAGCCGUUGUUCUGUUAUCGCAGUGCCUGUGUCACACAAGACUCCCUAGGAGUAAUAACCUGCUUGUGAGGCUGUGAUGCAAGAGUUGAGGAAGUGCUUUGCCCUGAAGGUUGUCUUCUCAGAUGUUUCCAGGAACUGAGGAGUGCAGGAUUGCUAGAUAACACCACGUCUAGAGCAUCUGAGGCUGUUCCACAUGGAUAAUAGGAAAGUCAAAUGGCUUUAAUACGUACUCUUCCCUUCUGUGAAUGAGAAGAAAGGAGAAGAUUGAACAUCCUGCCCUAACUUCUCUCCUUGCGUGAUGCCAGCUACAUGAACAUAAUUGCACCAAUUACAGGGAGUUGUGCAACUUUACGAACUGUCUAUAAAAGUUCUGCUCUUAGAAGAUGGGUGGCCAGAAGGGAGCAGACAUUCAAACCUGGAUGGAUAGUUGUGUCUGUGUCUGACAAUGCGGGUGUCAUUGCAAAUUGUAUUCCGUGUGCUCUCUGCUACCUUGGGAAGAAACCCAUGAUGCAAACAGCACUGAAAACUGAGUGUCAUUGCUGUGAUGUGGCUGAUCCCCUGGUUAGACAGAUAGAUCCCACAAGUGUGGGACCUGAGCAGUCAGCACCUGCACAUGGCUUAAAUGCAAACCUUUUGACUUGGCUCACUGAAGGAGGGUGAGGGGUAUGGCGUGGUGCUUUACUGCACGAUUCCAGAAUCCUCCUGAAGAUGAGCCUGAACUGUAGUGGUUGAGUGGCCUCAUGUUAAUGAAAGAACUAAUCUCCUGAGCUCUGUUUUACACCGCUUCCCCUUAGCAGAAUUGUCUCUUUGCUGCUAUGCACUUCAAAUGACUUGUGUGAAGAUCUGAAUGAGGCUUCUGGCACAGGGACCAGAGAAGCUGGCAAACCUCGUGACUUCCACUUGAGGGGACUUCUUGUUAGCUUUUAUAUCCUCGUCU